rnacentral:rRNA from 1 species
AAACGACAUCGAAAGCUUGCUUUUGAUGGGCGUCGACCGGCGCACGGGUGAGUAACGCGUAUCCAACCUGCCCACCACUUGGGGAUAACCUUGCGAAAGUAAGACUAAUACCCAAUGAUAUCUCUAGAAGACAUCUGAAGGAGAUUAAAGAUUUAUCGGUGAUGGAUGGAGAUGCGUCUGAUUAGCUUGUUGGCGGGGUAACGGCCCACCAAGGCGACGAUCAGUAGGGGUUCUGAGAGGUUAACCCCCACACUGGUACUGAGACACGGACCAGACUCC